rnacentral:rRNA from 1 species
UACGGAGGGUGCAAGCGUUAUCCGGAUUCACUGGGUUUAAAGGGUGCGUAGGCGGGCAGGUAAGUCAGUGGUGAAAUCCCCGAGCUUAACUUGGGAACUGCCGUUGAUACUAUUUGUCUUGAAUACUUUGGAGGUAAGCGGAAUAUGUCAUGUAGCGGUGAAAUGCUUAGAUAUGACAUAGAACACCAAUUGCGAAGGCAGCUUACUACACAGUAAUUGACACUGAGGCACGAAAGCGUGGGGAUCAAACAGG